ACGUUCCUGUGGGUUCGGUAAACUGGUAAACCCCUCCGAUCCAGGACUCAGGGAGUCCAGAAAAAUAGACAGGUAAGAGAGCUCAAAAUUACCAAAACCGAACACCCACAGACUGGUUCGCUGUGGGAGCAGUAGGUUGGUAAGGCACGGUCAGGAGACAGAUCGAUCCACGCUUGGAAAUCGACUAACUGGCCUUGGACGAAUCGCGGAAAAACCGACUCAGAUACGCCUCCAGAGGACUGGACUGGACUGGGCUAUGUGAAGCAGGAACAAAGAAGCAGCUCUUCCUGGUGUCUCCAGGAGGAAAGGAGAGAGGACAGCUGCUGCUGGACUUCAGCAACAGGCUCUGCACAUCCCCUCACCCUUUGGCUACCAGCGUGCCACCAGGAAAGGAGAGAUGAGAGGAAAGGAGAGAGGACAGUCUGCUGAUCAGGACUUCAGAUACAGACUUCACACCUCUUCACCCUCUGGCUACCAGUGUGUCAUGAAGACUUCAGGGACAGACUCUGCACACCUUCUCCCCCUUUGGCUACUUGGAAAAAGCUACAACAGUGGGGGCGAGCUCUGUGUCGAGCCCCCUACCCAGCUGAUAUUUUUAAUAAAGAGUUGAACAUUAA